AAUCUUGGACAAUGGGCGCAAGCCUGAUCCAGCCAUGCCGCGUGAGUGAUGAAGGCCCUAGGGUCGUAAAGCUCUUUCGCCAGGGAUGAUAAUGACAGUACCUGGUAAAGAAACCCCCGGCUAACUCCGUGCCAGCAGCCGCGGUAAUACGGGAGGGGGUUAGCGUUGUUCGGAAUUACUGGGGCGUAAAGCGCGCGUAGGCGGACUGGAAAGUUGGGGUGAAAUCCCCGGGGCUCAACCCGGAACUGCCUCCAAAACUCCCAGUCUUGAGUUCGAGAGAGGUGAGUGGAAUUCCGAGUGUAGAGGUGAAAUUCGUAGAUAUUCGGAGGAACACCAGUGGCGAAGGCGGCUCACUGGCUCGAUACUGACGCUGAGGUGCGAAAGUGUGGGGAGCAAACAGGAUUAGAUACCCUGGUAG
rnacentral:rRNA from 1 species